AUUGAACGCUGGCGGCAGGCCUAACACAUGCAAGUCGAACGAGUGGCGGACGGGUGAGUAAUGUCUGGGAAACUGCCUGAUGGAGGGGGAUAACUACUGGAAACGGUAGCUAAUACCGCAUACCAUCGGAUGUGCCCAGAUGGGAUUUGCUAGUAGGUGGGGUAACGGCUCACCUAGGCGACGAUCCCUAGCUGGUCUGAGAGGAUGACCCGCCACACUGGAACUGAGACACGGUACAGACUCCUACAGGAGGCAGCAGUGGGGAAUAUUGCACACUGGGCGCAAGCCUAAUGCAGCCAUGCCGCGUGUAUGAAGAAGGCCGUCGGGUUGUAAAGUACUGGCAGCGGGGAGACGUUACACGCAGAAGAAGCACCGGCUAACUCCGUGCCAGCAGCCGCGGUAAUAC
rnacentral:rRNA from 1 species